AUUGAACGCUGGCGGCAGGCCUAACACAUGCAAGUCGAACGGCAGCGGGGGAUAGCUUGCUAUCCUGCCGGCGAGUGGCGGACGGGUGAGUAAUGCAUGGGGAGCUGCCCAGUCGAGGGGGAUAACAACUGGAAACGGUUGCUAAUACCGCAUACGCCCUAAGGGGGAAAGGUGGGGAACUUCGGUCCUACCGCGAUUGGAUGCGCCCAUGGGGGAUUAGCUAGUUGGUGAGGUAACGGCUCACCAAGGCGACGAUCUCUAGCUGGUCUGAGAGGAUGACCGGCCACACUGGACUUGAGACACGGUCCAGACUCCUACGGGAGGCAGCAGUGGGGAAUAUUGCACAAUGGGGGAAACCCUGAUGCAGCCAUGCCGCGUGUGUGAAGAAGGCCUUCGGGUUGUAAAGCACUUUCAGUCAGGAGGAAGGGGUGAUGGCUAUAUCCAUCAUCAUUGACAUUACUGACAGAAGAAGCACCGGCUAACUCCGUGCCAGCCGCCGCAGUAA
rnacentral:rRNA from 1 species